UACGUAGGGUGCAAGCGUUGUCCGGAAUUAUUGGGCGUAAAGAGCUCGUAGGCGGCCUGUCGCGUCGGCUGUGAAAACUCAGGGCUCAACCCUGAGCCUGCAGUCGAUACGGGCAGGCUAGAGUCCGGCAGGGGAGACUGGAAUUCCUGGUGUAGCGGUGAAAUGCGCAGAUAUCAGGAGGAACACCGGUGGCGAAGGCGGGUCUCUGGGCCGGAACUGACGCUGAGGAGCGAAAGCAUGGGGAGCGAACAGG
rnacentral:rRNA from 1 species